CUGACCUGCGCGCUGGAACCCGCCGCGGAAGUGGGUGGGUGGAAACGUGGCUUCCGGAUGCCAGGCUGUCCCCUCCUGCAGAUCAUGUUGAAGAUUCUGAAGCAGUAAAAAUUUCAAUGACAAGCAAGAGGUGGUAAAAAUACUGGGGUUGAAACUGCCCAACAAUCUGAGCUAUCUGGUUUUGGAGAGCUAUCCUGGUGAUUAUCCAACAUUGACCAGCAACCUCCUGGUCCAUUACUCCAGCUGACUUGUUAGCAUUUGAUAGACUUUUGAGAUAUUAUCUGUAAAUUAAGAAAUGAUCUCAACUCUGAAGAAGAGUGAAGUUGUCCCUUUUUGGUAUUGUUGAAGCCGCUGCCUGUGCAGAUACCAUGGAGUAAGAAGACCUAUAAUGAAGAGUAAAUCUAAAUGUCUGGUCCAUUGAGAAUGUAUUUAUGCCAAUGUGAAGCAUUUUCUGUGUCUUUUUCUCUUUCCUUCCCCUCUUUUUUUCCUUCCCUCCUUCCUUUUUUUUUUUUGUCUUUUGUACAUUUCAAUGUAUAAACAAAAUAGUGACUUAGAAGACAAUAGGCUUAACAACACUUCCCAAACAUGGAUGUUAAGAAUUCAACAUUUUGUCUCUAUGAAAUAUUAGUGCACAAGAAGAUAGUGAAAAGUUAAAAUAAAAUCUGUUCCAAUCUAUGAGACAUCUGUGCAACUCCACCUACUAUGUAGCAAGGUAUCUAUCACUUUUUUCUUAAAUCUUUCUAUAAUUUUGUAUAAUUCUAAUAACCCUUAUUUUUAAAACAUUUCUGGCUUGGUAAGUUAUGUGUUGGCUUCUUGGGGAAAGGCCAUAAAAUAACAAAUAUUUCCUAAACCUUAAAUAUAUUCACAAUAAAAUAUAUUUUGCCUUAAGGACAUAGGAAAAUAAACUUUUUUGGAUGAAAGAUUACUGUCACACUUUUUCCUUCAUAACCCCUACAUCUUCUAUUAUUUCUUUCUCCAAAUUUCAGACAAAAUGAAGUUGUAAUUACAAAGUUACAAUAUAGAGCUAGUGAGAGCUAAACCAAAUAAAAUUCACAUUCUCAAGACUAGAAACCAAAAAGUUUUUAAAAGCAAUUUGACCAUUAAACUUAUUUAUGAAA